AGAACGAACGCUGGCGGCAGGCCUAACACACGCAAGUCGAACGCCCCGCAAGGGGAGUGGCAGACGGGUGAGUAACACGUGGGAACGUGCCCAAAGGUACGGAACAACUCCGGGAAACUGGAGCUAAUACCGUAUGUGCCCGAAAGGGGAAAGAUUCAUCGCCUUUGGAUCGGCCCGCGUCUGAUUAGCUAGUUGGUGGGGUAAUGGCCCACCAAGGCGACGAUCAGUAGCU
rnacentral:rRNA from 1 species